GCUGGGCGAGGUGGCUCAUGCCUGUAAUCCCAGCAAUUUGGGAGGCUGAGGCAGGAGGAUUGCUUGAGUCCAGGAGUUCAAGACCAGCCUGGGCAACAUGGCGAGACCCUGUCUCUA
ensembl:misc_RNA Metazoa_SRP Metazoan signal recognition particle RNA